rnacentral:misc_RNA from 1 species
UUGAAAUGUGAGCAGAACCGGCGAGCACGGAAGCAUCGUUGGUCUCUGCAGCUGAAAUAUUGCUCCUGGAAAAACAGCAAAGUGAGCGAGAGCUCGUUUAUAUGGAGAUAACCGAAUAAGAGGAAGCAACGCUCAACGCUCAAUUAUGCAUCAUGACAAACUACCCGAUUUAUUCGUUCACCGUCGUCGCGAUGCGUCUCUUCGUACCUUCAUACGAAUCUUGAAUCUGAAAAUUGGGAAAAGAGAAGAGAACCCAGAACCGAACCCUGCGGAACACCAGACGUAGUGGGGAGCCAAUCAGAGCGUAAAUUUUCGGCGUCAAGCACAGCCUGUUUUCGAUCAGUCAAGUAUAGGAGAAAAUCCAAGUGAAAGCAUUUAUACAGAAACCCAAUUUGCGGAGUUUUGUAAGUAAUUUAAUGUGAGUAACAACAUCAAAAGCCUUGCUAAAAUCGAACAGUACAAGAAUAGUAAGUUGACGAUUAUUUAUCUACCGCGAGGCGAACAUCAUGACAGAUUUUCAGCAAGGCAGUUUGAGUGCUGUAACCCUCACGAGGAGAGAGAGAGAGAGAGAGAGAGAGAGAAACAAAGACAAAAUACGCGCUUUACUGCUACUGUCAUUUCUUUCCUUAUUCAAUUUUUUUCAAUCACUAGAGUUCACGGGUAUAAUUAUAGAGUUUACAUAUUGGGAUCUGACAUGGAGGCGUGGCCAAGCUAAAAAUGGCGCAUACCGGGGUGCAACGUACAUGUAUGUGUCACAUCUUCAAGUGACUUGUGCGUGUGUUAAUUGUCCAUGUUGCACCCCGGUUGUAGUUCAAAAUUUGACACCAGAUGUCUCACGAAUUUUGUCAGAUCCCAAUAUGCAGUUACACAUCUCGUGCAUAAGAACUUCGAUUUAAAGCUCAAUUAUUCGAUAACCAUGUGGUAAAAAAAUUUGAAAAAAAUUGUAUUUGUAUACUUGAUGCCAAAGAAUGUUAUCACCAAUUCCUCCUUAAAUAACGCUUUCAUGUUCAACUUUUGACUUCAUUGUUAUAUUACAUAUGUUACGAAACAGUUGUAUUCUAAAACUUUGAAUUUAAUAAAAUAAUAUUAAAUAUAGGAAAUUUUGUAUUUUAUUACAAUACAUAUUAAAAUAAAUAAUUCAAAAGUUAUCUACGUUUACUUCAUAUCACUAAAAUAUAAAAUUCAUUUUAGCAACCUUCGAACGAAAAAAUAGUAUAUGCAACCGCGGACGCAAUGUACUAUUGUUCGCGCGCAGAAACAGCAACGAAUCUCACCUUCGAGUAUAGACUAUAUGAUUCUCGCCGCUUUAUGAGACUCUUCUUUCCUUUAGAUCUCGUUUGCCUGCGUUCAACCGGUUCGCUCAUCAUACGCACGAGUCGGAUUAUGUCAGCUAUUGCGUGGCGGACACUUUCGUUAUACGAGCAGAGGAUUAUCCCUUUGACGCGCAUGGAAGAAACGCAAAAACCGCGAGAGUGUGUAACGACCGGAGGUUUCAAGGGAGCCUGCAUCAGAGUAGUGGACUGCGCACCGAUUAUGAUGCUAUUGACUCGAGUACCACUCGAAGUCGAGGAUAUUGUAUACAUGCGAGCGAAUCAGUGCGAGAAACGCAGCGGGAUAUACAAAGUUUGUUGCGCACCAGAAUCAACGGCUGCGUUUAGCCAGCAGCGUACCUAAAAUAAAAAGAAAAUGAAAAAAUAGCCAUCACGGCUGAAUGAUGUUACCCGUAUAUGUAAGUCGAAUGUUAUUGAAAAAAAUCGGGUUUAUAAUAAAUAAUGUUAAAGCA